rnacentral:rRNA from 1 species
UUGUCUCAAAGAUUAAGCCAUGCAUGUCUCAGUACAAGCCGCAUUAAGGUGAAACCGCGAAAGGCUCAUUAAAUCAGUUAUGGUUCCUUAGAUCGUACCCACGUUACUUGGAUAACUGUGGUAAUUCUAGAGCUAAUACAUGCAAACAGAGCUCCGACCGGAGACGGGAGGAGUGCUUUUAUUAGAUCAAAACCAAUCGGCGGCGGGCGCGUUCGCGCGUCCGUUCGCCGCUCUACCUGGUGACUCUGAAUAACUUUCCGCUGAUCGCACGGUCUCGCACCGGCGACGUAUCUUUCAAAUGUCUGCCUUAUCAACUGUCGAUGGUAGGUUCUGCGCCUACCAUGGUCGUAACGGGUAACGGGGAAUCAGGGUUCGAUUCCGGAGAGGGAGCCUGAGAAACGGCUACCACAUCCAAGGAAGGCAGCAGGCGCGCAAAUUACCCACUCCCGGCACGGGGAGGUAGUGACGAAAAAUAACGAUACGGGACUCAUCCGAGGCCCCGUAAUCGGAAUGAGUACACUUUAAAUCCUUUAACGAGGACCAAUUGGAGGGCAAGUCUGGUGCCAGCAGCCGCGGUAAUUCCAGCUCCAAUAGCGUA